rnacentral:rRNA from 1 species
GACGAACGCUGGCGGCGUGCUUAACACAUGCAAGUCGAGCGGUAAGGCCCUUUCGGGGGUACGACGAGCGGCGAACGGGUGAGUAACACGUGGGUGACCUGCCCUCAGCUCUGGGAUAAGCCCGGGAAACGUGGGUCUAAUACCGGAUAUGACUCCAUGACGCAUGUUGUGGGGUGGAAAGCCUUGUGCGGCUGAGGAUGGGCCCGCGGCCUAUCAGCUUGUUGGUGGGGUGAUGGCCUACCAAGGCGACGACGGGUAGCCGGCCUGAGAGGGCGACCGGCCACACUGGGACUGAGACACGGCCCAGACUCCUACGGGAGGCAGCAGUGGGGAAUCUUGCGCAAUGGGCGAAAGCCUGACGCAGCGACGCCGCGUGAGGGAUGACGGCCUGGUUG